rnacentral:rRNA from 1 species
CGGGACGGGUGAGUAAUGUCUGGGAAACUGCCUGAUGGAGGGGGAUAACUACUGGAAACGGUAGCUAAUACCGCAUAACGCCGCAAGACCAAAGAGGGGGACCUUCGGGCCUCUUGCCAUCGGAUGUGCCCAGAUGGGAUUAGCUAGUAGGUGGGGUAACGGCUCACCUAGGCGACGAUCCCUAGCUGGUCUGAGAGGAUGCCAGCCACACUGGAACUGAGACACGGUCCAG